rnacentral:rRNA from 1 species
UUCGCAAUGCCCGAAAGGGUGACGAAGCGACGCCGCGUGCGGGAAGAAGGCCUUCGGGUUGUAAACCGCUGUCGGGAGUUAAGAAAUGUAAGGAUGUUAAUAGCAUCUUUGCUUGACUAAGGCUCCGGAGGAAGCCACGGCUAGCUCUGUGCCAGCAGCCGCGGUAAUACAGAGGCGGCAAGCGUUGUUCGGAAUUAUUGGGCGUAAAGAGCACGUAGGCGGCUAUGUAAGUCGGUUGUGAAAGCCUUCCGCUCAACGGGAGAACAGCAUCCGAUACUGCAUGGCUUGAGUGCGGGAGGGGAGAGUGGAACUUCUGGUGGAGCGGUGAAAUGCGUAGAUAUCAGAAGGAACGCCGGCGGCGAAAGCGGCUCUCUGGCCCAUAACUGACGCUGAGUGUGCGAAAGCUAGGGGAGCAAACGGGAUUAGAUACCCCGGUAGUCCUAGCCGUAAACGAUGGGCACUAAGUAGAGGGGUUUU